UGCAGUCGAGCGGAACGAGUUAUCUGAACCUUCGGGGAACGAUAACGGCGCUCGAGCGGCGGACGGGUGAGUAAUGCCUGGGAAAUUGCCCUGAUGUGGGGGAUAACCAUUGGAAACGAUGGCUAAUACCGCAUAAUAGCUUCGGCUCAAAGAGGGGGACCUUCGGGCCUCUCGCGUCAGGAUAUGCCCAGGUGGGAUUAGCUAGUUGGUGAGGUAAGGGCUCACCAAGGCGACGAUCCCUAGCUGGUCUGAGAGGAUGAUCAGCCACACUGGAACUGAGACACGGUCCAGACUCCUACGGGAGGCAGCAGUGGGGAAUAUUGCACAAUGGGCGCAAGCCUGAUGCAGCCAUGCCGCGUGUAUGAAGAAGGCCUUCGGGUUGUAAAGUACUUUCAGCAGUGAGGA
rnacentral:rRNA from 1 species